rnacentral:rRNA from 1 species
GACGAACGCUGGCGGCGUGCUUAACACAUGCAAGUCGAACGAAGUGGCGAACGGGUGAGUAACGCGUAAUCAACCUGCCCUUCAGAGGGGGACAACAGUUGGAACCGACUGCUAAUACCGCAUACUGAAGGAGGGGAUUGCGUCUGAUUAGCUAGUUGGGGGGGUAACGGCCCACCAAGGCGAUGAUCAGUAGCCGGUCCGGGAGGAUGAACGGCCACCUUGGGACUGAGACACGGGCCAGACUCCGACGGGAGGCAGCAGGGGGGAAUCUUCCGCAAUGGACGAAAGUCUGACGGAGCAACGCCGCGUGAGUGAUGACGGCCUUCGGGUUGUAAAGCUCUGUUAAGCGGGACGCGGUACCGGAAUAGAAAGCAACGGCUAACUACGUGCCAGCAGCCGCGGUAAUAC